CAUGGAAUAAUAAAAUAGGACGGUGGUCCUGUUUUGUUGGUUUCUGAAUCACCGUAAUGAUUAAUAGGGAUAGUUGGGGGCAUUAGUAUUCAAUUGUCAGAGGUGAAAUUCUUGGAUUUAUUGAAGACUAACUACUGCGAAAGCAUUUGCCAAGGAUGUUUUCAUUAAUCAAGAACGAAAGUUAGGGGAUCGAAGACGAUCAGAUACCGUCGUAGUCUUAACCAUAAACUAUGCCGACUAGGAAUCGGGCGACGUUAUUUUCAUGACUCGCUCGGCGCCUUAUG
rnacentral:rRNA from 1 species